GAUAUGCCCGAGCAGAGGAAGCCUUCAAGCUGAAGGAUGAGGAGGCCACGAAGGAGCGACAGGCGGGUGACUCCAGCAAGCUCGCAGUUGAAAAAAGGCCGAGUGAAGCUCGACCACGUUCUCGAACUCUCUCCGGAUACAAGCAUGUCCGCACUGCUCUCCGAGCUCGGAGGCAGAGGAGCCCGGACCGUAGGGUUUGACGGAGCUCUCCCCUAGGAAGAUUCCACAGCUACGCCUCCCUCAAUACUCCAAAAGCUUAAGUGCUGAUGGAGGUCAGGGAGCAGCUACCAAGGUCGAAAAGGAUGCGCACACACCCUAGGAAGAGCAAUCCUAACAAGUUCUGCCUCUAUCAUCGUGACCACGGCCACGACAUGGAGGAGUGUAUUCAGCUUCGAGAUGAGAUCGAGGAGCUCAUCAGAUGAGGUCGGCUCGACAGAUUCAUUCGACGCUGGCCUGAAGGUAGGGAAGAUCGGUUGAGAGCCCUGCCACAAUCGGAGCUGCCAAGGAGGAAGGAGCAGCCUGAAGAUCGACCUCCAAUCAGGAUUAUCAACUCCAUCCCUGGAGGACCCCGACGGGGAGCAGACCUUCUGCGACUAUGGGAUUCAAAAAAUCUAUGAAUGUAUUACCAAUAAUUUUGCCUUAAAUAAAAGUUUUUUUCAUAUUUGCAUAUCUUUUUUUUUGGCAUGAGCUUGUAACGACAGGGAGUAGCUCCUUCAGACAAUCAAAAACUAAGUGUGUCAGGAAUAAGAGGAGGACCUUGUCCCGACACAAAUGAAAGCCCAAUUAUUUAGAGACCGGAUGGGGGGAGAGGCCCUUGCAACGGUCCUUAUGCGCCCCCACAGCCAUGUUAGAAACAGGAGGAGAACCUCAUCCUAACAUGAGCAAAGUUGAAUGUUCGAUUAUUUAAAGACCGGAUGGGGGGAGAGGCCCUUGCAACGGCCCUUAUGCACCCCCACAGUCAUGUUAGGAAUAGGAGGAGAACCUUGUCCUAACAUGAGCAAAGUCGAAGGCCCGAUUAUUUAAAGAUCGGAUGGGGGGAGAGGCCCUUGCAACGGUCCUUAUGCGCCCCCAUAACCAUGUUAGGAACAGGAGGAGAACCUCGUCCUAACAUGAGCAAAGUCGAAAGCUCGGUUAUUUAAAGAUCGGAUGGGGGGAGAGGCCCUUGCAACGGCCCUUAUGCGCCCCCACAGUCAUGUUAGGAACAGGAGGAGAACCUCAUCCUAACAUGAGCAAAGUCGAAGGUUCGAUUAUUUAGAGAUCGGAUGGAGGGAGAGGCCCUUGCAACGGCCCUUAUGUGCCCCCACAGCCCUGUUAGGAACAGGAGAAAAAUCUCAUCCUAACAUGAGCUGAAAUUGACUGUGUCAGGAAUAGGAGGAGAAUCUCGUCCUGACACAAAUGAAGACCUAAUCGUUCAAGACCGGAUGAGGGAAAAAGUCUUCUCAAUGGCUCCUCUACACCACUACAACCUCGUUAAGAGCAGAGGAAAAACCCUCACUCGAAUACAAAAAAAAAGGAGGAAGAGAAAAAGGGAAAGCGACGAGCUAUGCCAGUGAUAAGGAAAAAACAAACUACAUCAAAGAUACAAGAAACCUCGUCUCAAUGAGGAAGGAGACUCUUGUCAAAAACCCUCAGUCUCUAAGAGGGAACCCAACACUGAUAGGAAAAAAUCGACUUUUUCAAGGUAAUGAGAAGUUCGGGCCCCCAAGCUCGAGCACCGGAAGGAAGCAUCAAACUCGAGUGGUCUUGAAAAGACCUUCGAUCAUGAACAAAAGGGGCAAAUCAACAUGACGACGAUCAGGAACCUUCAAACAACGUCGACAUCGAACAAGACAAAAGACAAAAGAAGUUCGGUAAACGAUAACUUAAUGCAAAAAUGGAUAAGGUAAUAAAAAAUUUUCUUUUCAUUUCAUUAGUGAAGUGCACAUUACAAAGCCUUUGAAGGCCAAAAAAGAAAAAUGACAAGAAAAGGAAAGAAUACAUAGAAUAAAAGGUAAAGAAGCUCUAAGGAAGCUAGACUUCUUCAGACUUCGAACUCUCGAUUCCAGCCAUC
rnacentral:lncRNA from 1 species